rnacentral:rRNA from 1 species
CCUACGGGAGGCAGCAGUGAGGAAUAUUGGUCAAUGGGCGAGAGCCUGAACCAGCCAAGUCGCGUGAGGGAGUACUGCCCUAUGGGUUGUAAACCUCUUUUGUCGGGGAGCAAAAGCCGGACGUGUCCGGCUGUGAGAGUACCCGAGGAAAAAGCAUCGGCUAACUCCGUGCCAGCAGCCGCGGUAAUACGGAGGAUGCGAGCGUUAUCCGGAUUUAUUGGGUUUAAAGGGGGCGCAGGCGGAGUUUUAAGUCAGCGGUAAAAUCGCGGGGCUCAACCCCAUCCAGCCGUUGAAACUGGGGAUCUAGAGUGUGCGAGAGGUAUGCGGAAUGCGUGGUGUAGCGGUGAAAUGCAUAGAUAUCACGCAGAACCCCGAUUGCGAAGGCAGCAUACCGGUGCACAACUGACGCUCAGGCACGAAAGCGUGGGUAUCGAACAGGAUUAGAUACCCCAGUAGUC